rnacentral:tRNA from 1 species
UGUAAAAUAAGCUAAGUCUAAGCUCUUGGGUUCAUACCCCAAAUAUGAAUAUUCUAUUCUUUUACAA